ensembl:lncRNA
UUCCGAUUGUUGUCUUAAAAAAGCCCUUAAUAUUUUAUGUGGUGUAUUGUGUGUGUGCAAUUUUUCAGUUUAAUACACUUUUAACACAAGCAGUUAAUAUCCAUAUUCACUUGAAAUUGAACUGAGAAGAUGGAAACAACAGUGCAUAAUAACGCAGAGUAUAAGUCACACUGAAAAGUCACAGAGCAGAGACUCAUCUGAGUAUAAGUCACACUGAAAAGUCACAGAGCAGAGACUCAUCGGAGUAUAAGUCACACUGAAAAGUCACAGAGCAGAGACUCAUCUUCAGCCUACCGACACAUGUUCCGCCCAUUCCCAGCUCCUUCAUGUCAAACUGCUGUCAUGGUGUCGUCUCUAAAAGUGGGAAUACUCGUCACACAGCUGUUAUGAGUUAACAUCCACCACACUAGGGGGGGUCUCUGUCUAAAGAGUCAGACCAAAGAAAGACAGAGAGAGAGGGAGAAAGAGAGAGACAGAGGGAGGGAGAGAGCAGGAGCCAGCUAGGUUGAAGAUGUUUCUUACUGCUCAGGCAAGCUGGUUAAACGUGGUUUAUAUCUAAUCCAAUAGGACACACGUGGUGUAAAGGCUACAUAACAGAGAGUGCAGGCCUAUGUAGACUGCCGAGUGCAAAAUAUCAGUUUUGUUACAGAAUCUGAAAUCUGUUGAUUCUAAAAUGUCUUCUCUACGGUUUACUUCCUAGGGACCAGUUUGGUUGGUGUAACAGUUUGGAUGACAUACCAGUAAAGCUCAAAGUUUGGGAGACUUUUGCAUUGUGUACCCUGCCGUCAGACGUCAAACAACAGAGCUGUCUCGGUGCACCCUGGGAAAAACUGAUUUCAAAAGAGUUCUUAGGCUGUCCCUGUGGGGGAACCCUUAUAAGAAUCCUUUUUUGGAACUGUUCCAUUUCCGAGGGUACACAGAACAGCAUUAAGGAAACACAGGUCAAUCUACAGGCACUCGGAAACAUGGAGGAAAGCUGCCAGGUUGAGUGUGUGUGUGUGUGUGUGUGUUUUGCUUGCACGUGGGUGCUAAGCUGAACCCAGAAGGCAGUGGUUUAAAGGCCCUAGGUCAUAAUUAGGACAGGAUUGAAGAAGGGUUAACGGAGGGCUCAGGAGACAGGCGACAGCAUGAGAUCAUCUCAAAGGCACAGGAGACGCCAGGCCAGGGCAAACCUGCACUGAAAAUACACAUUUCACAUGUGAAAACGGAAGCUGUUCCAGAAGACUUGUUUUCUUGUGAUCAGGAGAUUGUGUACUUUUCAUGUGGUGACGUGAUAACACAAAACUUGUGAACCCAUGAAGUGCUCCAAAAACAAUUCAAAAGGGUCAUGUGAAAUGUCAGGUGAAAUCAUGUGAUUUUUCUAGAAUGGAAUCAACCAAAACAACAAAGGCUUCUUUUAAAAAAUAAAAAUAAUGUAAGAAAUUAUCUGCUUUAUGAACUCUACAGCAAAUUCUCAAGCAAUGAAAC